rnacentral:rRNA from 1 species
GCUUACGGCCAUACCACCCUGAGCGCGCCCGAUCUCGUCUGAUCUCGGAAGCUAAGCAGGGUCGGGCUUGGUUAGUACUUGGAUGGGAGACCGCCUGGGAAUACCAGGUGCUGUAAGCU